GACGAACGCUGGCGGCGUGCUUAACACAUGCAAGUCGAGCGGUAAGGCCCUUCGGGGUACCCGAGCGGCGAACGGGUGAGUAACACGUGAGUAAUCUGCCCAUCACUUCGGGAUAACUCCGGGAAACCGGUGCUAAUACCGAAUAUGACCACUUCAGGCAUCUGAUGGUGGUGGAAAGUUCCGGCGGUGAUGGAUGAGCUCGCGGCCUAUCAGCCUGUUUGUGGGGUAGUGGCCUACCAAGGCUUCGACGGGUAGCCGGCCUGAGAGGGUGACCGGCCACACUGGGACUGAGACACGGCGCAGACUCCUACGGGAGGCAGCAGUGGGGAAUAUUGGACAAUGGGCGAGAGCCUGAUCCAGCAGCGCCGCGUGAGGGAUGACGGCCUUCGGGUUGUAAACCUCUUUCAGCAGGGACGAAGCGCAAGUGACGGUACCUGCAGAAGAAGCACCGGCCAACUACGUG
rnacentral:rRNA from 1 species